ACCUAGCGUAGUUCGGAAUUACUGGGCUUAAAGAGCUCGUAGGUGGUUUGAAAAGUUGGUGGUGAAAUCCCAGGCUCAACCUUGGAACUGCCACCAAAACUUUUUGACUAGAGUGUGAUAGAGGAAAGUGGAAUUUCUAGUGUAGAGGUGAAAUUCGUAGAUAUUAGAAAGAACACCAAUUGCGAAGGCAGCUUUCUGGAUCACUACUGACACUGAGGAGCGAAAGCAUGGGUAGCGAAGAGGAUUAGAUACCCUCGUAGUCCAUGCCGUAAACGAUGUGUGCUAGACGUUGGAAAUUUAAUUUUCAGUGUCGCAGCAAAAGCGUUAAGCACACCGCCUGGGGAGUACGACCGCAAGGUUAAAACUCAAAUGAAUUGACGGGGACCCGCACAAGCAGUGGAGCAUGUGGUUUAAUUCGAAGAUACGCGCAGAACCUUACCAACACUUGACAUGUUCGUCGCGACUUUAAGAGAUUGAAGUCUUCAGUUUGGCUGGACGAAACACAGGUGCUGCAUGGCUGUCGUCAGCUCGUGUCGUGAGAUGUUGGGUUAAGUCCCGCAACGAGCGCAACCCUUACUUUUAGUUGCCACCAUUUAGUUGAGCACUCUGAAAGAACUGCCAGUGAUAAGCUGGAGGAAGGUGGGGAUGACGUCAAGUCCUCAUGGCCCUUAAGUGUUGGGCUACACACGUGCUACAAUGGCACUCACAAUAGGAAGCAAAGAGGCGACUCUAAGCAAAUCCUAAAAAAGUGUCUCAGUUCGGAUUGUACUCUGCAACUCGAGUACAUGAAGCUGGAAUUGCUAGUAAUCGCGGAUCAGCGCGCCGCGGUGAAUACGUUCCCGGGUCUUGUACACACCGCCCGUCAAGGGAGAA
rnacentral:rRNA from 1 species